GGUCCAGAGAUCAGACUCGGGAAAGGUGG
rnacentral:piRNA from 1 species